CUACAACAUGAAGUGAACCACACCGUGACAGAUACAGCAUUUUUAGGCGUGGGGUGUCCGUGACUCACCCAAUCGCUGCUGAGAUGGACCCUGCUCACUUCCUGUUCUUGAGACCAACACGCCGCUAUCAGCAGUGUUCACCCCUGGCUAACUGAAGCAUCACACUAUGUCAGCGUGCAACGAAACAGUUUUCCACAGGUUGAGGGUCGACUGGAGCGGUUUUAAACAUCUCAUUUGGUUUUGUCUACUUCGUCAAUAGUGAUUUAAGGGCAUCUAAUCGGAAAAUCAGCAACACCAACUGCUCAUUUUAAAAGAACCAAAUCCCAACAUUUGCAUCACACUAGUGGAUGGCUUCCCUUCCCAUAGGCACGAAUACACACGUAUAGCAUUUUACAGAGAGAUCUGUUAUAUAUUUGGACUACUUCGAGUCAUUUAAUACCCCCUUUGGACAAGAGACAUUUUGUCCGAAGAGGGUAUUAUUACAAAAGAAUGUGCUUGACACAGACCAAAACACACAUGCACACAAAUAUUAAAAUCCCUAGUUGUUAUAUUUUGACUGUAUAUAAUGUAUAUGCAUUUGUGCAAUUACUUGUCAAUGUUCAUAGUCAGAAUUGGUUCCUAGUUGCCC
ensembl:lncRNA